rnacentral:rRNA from 1 species
CCUACGGGUGGCAGCAGUGAGGAUUAUUGGUCAAUGGCCGGAAGGCUGAACCAGCCAAGCCGCGUGAAGGACGAAGGUGCCAAGCAUUGUAAACUUCUUUUGUCAAGGGACAAAAUCAGGCUCGAGAGCCUGACCGAGGGUACUUUAAGAAAAAGCAUCGGCUAACUCCGUGCCAGCAGCCGCGGUAAUACGGAGGAUGCGAGCGUUAUCCGGAUUUAUUGGGUUUAAAGGGUGCGUAGGCGGACGUUUAAGUCAGCGGUAAAAGCCCGGGGCGCAACCCCGGCGAGCAGUGGAAACUGGCGGUCUUGAGAGGGCGAGAGGUAUGCGGAAUGCGCAGUGUAGCGGUGAAAUGCUUAGAUAUUGCGAAGAACUCCGAUUGCGAAGGCAGCAUACCGGCGGCGAUCUGACGCUGAGGCACGAAAGCGUGGGUAGCGAACAGGAUUAGAUACCCUUGUAGUC